GCUACAUACAGGCACUGGUUAGUCGGGCUAAUUGAGGUAGAUGUACAUCAAUGUAUAGUUAAAGGGACUAUGCAUAUAGAUAAACAGAGAGUAGCAGCAGCGUAAAAGAGGGGUUGGGGGCGGGUAUUGUGGUCAUUAUGGGGUAUUGUGUCAAUUUGGGGUAUUGUGUCAUUAUGGGGUAUUGUGUCAUUAUGGGGUAUUGUGUCGUUAUGGGGUAUUGUGUCGUUACCGGGUAUGUGUCGUUACCGGUAUUGUGUCGUUACGGGUAUUGUGUCGUUACCGGGUAUUGUGUCGUCACGGGGAUUGGUGUCGUUACGGGUAUGGUGUCCGUUGCGGGUAUUGUGUCGUUACCGGGUAUUGUGUCGACCGGGUAGUUGUCUUACGUGGGUAUUGUGUCAUUAGGGGGUAUUGGUGUCAUUAUGGGGUAUUGUGUCAUUAUGGGGUAUUGUGUCAUUAUGGGGUAUUGUGUCAGUAUGGGGGUAUGUGUCGUACACCGGGUAUUGUUUGGUAUUGUGCGUUACCGGGUAUUGUGUCUUUACCGGGUAUUGUGUCGUUAUGGGGUAUUGUGUCGUUAGGGGUAUUGUGUCGAGGGGGUAUUGUGUCGUUACCGGGUUUGGGCGUUACCGGGUAUUAUGUCGUCACGGGGUAUUGUGUCAUUAUGGGGUAUUGUGUCGUUAUGGGUUAUUGUGUCAUUACGGGGUAUUGUGUCGUUAGGGGGUAGGGUGUCAUGGGUGUGUUCGAUGGUAGUGUGUCGUGUGGGGUAUUGUGUCAUUAUGGGUAUUGUGUCAGUAUGGGGUAUUGUGUCGUCAUGGGGUAUUGUUGUCGUCAUGGGUAUGGUGUCGUAUGGGGUAUGGUGUCAUUACGGGGUAUGUGUCGUUAUGGGGUAUUGUGUCGUCACGGGGUAUUGUGUCGUCACGGGGUAUUGUGUCGUUAUGGGGUAUUGUGUCAUUAUGGGGUAUUGUGUCAUUAUGGGGUAUGGUGUCGUUAUGGGGUAUUACUUGGGGUAUUGUUCAUGGGGUAUUGUGUCAUUAUGGGGUAUGUGUCAUUAUGGGG
rnacentral:lncRNA from 1 species